rnacentral:rRNA from 1 species
AUACGGAGGGUGCAAGCGUUGUUCGGAAUCACUGGGCGUAAAGGGCGCGCAGGCGGUUUGGUAAGUCAGAUGUGAAAGCCCACGGCUCAACCGUGGAAGUGCAUUUGAAACUGUCAGACUUGAGUACUAGAGGGGAAAGUGGAAUUCCCGGUGUAGAGGUGAAAUUCGUAGAUAUCGGGAGGAGUACCGGUGGCGAAGGCGACUUUCUGGCUAGAUACUGACGCUGAGGCGCGAAAGCGUGGGGAGCAAACAGGAUUAGAAACCCUAGUAGUCC